CCUCAGCCUCGGCCGGCGUCCGUAGCCGGGAAACCCGGAGUCUGGCGCUCUAGCUUGGGGUCCGGCGAUGUCGGGUGAAGACGUCCCGCACCGGGCCGAGUCCUCCGAGGCCCGUGCGGCCGCGGUCAGCGACAUCCAGGAGCUGAUGCGACGCAAGGAGGAGAUCGAGGCGCAGAUCAAGGCUAACUACGACAUCCUGGAGAGCCAAAAAGGAAUUGGCAUGAACGAGCCGCUGGUGGACUGUGAGGGCUACCCCCGGGCGGAUGUGGACUUGUACCAGGUCCGAACAGCAAGACACAACGUUAUCUGUCUCCAGAAUGAUCACAAGGCACUGAUGAAGCAAGUGGAGGAGGCCCUGCACCAGCUACACGCUCGGGACAAAGAGAAGCAGGCUCGGGACAUGGCUGAAGCCCGAGAAGAGGCCAUGAACUGCAGGCUGGGCUCCAGCAGCCCUGCCCCGCCCCAGGCCUUUGCCAGAGUGAACAGUAUCAGCCCUGGUUCCCCAGCCAGUAUUGCGGGCCUGCAAGUGGAUGACGAAAUUGUAGAGUUCGGCUCCGUGAACACCCAAAACUUUCAGUCACUGCAGAACGUGGGCACUGUGGUGCAGCAUAGCGAGGGGAAGCCGCUGAGUGUGACGGUGAUCCGCAGAGGAGAGAAGCGCCAGCUCAGACUGAUUCCAACCCGCUGGGCAGGAAAAGGACUGCUGGGCUGCAACAUUAUUCCUCUCCAGAGAUGACUGUGUCCGGGGAUCUGCGGGAAAGCUGCCUCAGCUGGCCCUGUGCUUGGGCCUGGGAGGGGUUUCCUCAUUUUCUAGGCUCCCUCAAGUUUACCUCCCCAGUUGCCUCUCGUUUCUGUUUUGGAUGUCUGGCCCUUUCUACAAGGAAGCUUGCAUCCUUGGAUUGGAUUUGCGCGCACGGGAUGGAGGCAGAGACCAGCUUUCUCUGAUGGCAGUCAGUACUGACAUGCACUUCCUGCUUUGACUCCGCACAGGCAACUGGAAAGUCUCCCCUAAGCUGCUUUGUCCAAACAGCCUCACGCCACCCCUCUCCCAUAGCCAGACUGGCUCUGUUGACUGGUGUUUUCUGUUUCAAUUGUGGGUUAUAAAUCCAAGUAUUUUCCAGACUCUUUAUAAGUCCCAUACUGUAAUAAAACACAGCUUGUACCAUUCAGUGCAUCCUCUUUGAGAUAUGCAUCUGAUCACCAGCACUGGGGUGUUGGUGGUGGACUUUUCGGGAGUCGUUCAUAUUCUCUCAAAGAGGCUUCAACAGGCCUUGGACUGCUCAGAAAGCCACCUUUGGACUCCUCUAUGACUUGCUUCAACAGGAAUAACGCUAAUGGAUUUAACCAAGCUGGGCUUGUGUGGUAACAGCAUGAUCGUGCACUCUCCACAUAGCUUCAAUCCCAGUUUACUAAACUUCUCUGCCUGCUGUGCCCCUGGUGAGAAGGUGGGCAAUUGGGUGUAACAUCUGUGA